rnacentral:rRNA from 1 species
UACGUAGGGCGCAAGCGUUGUCCGGAAUUAUUGGGCGUAAAGAGCUCGUAGGCGGUUUGUUGCGUCGGCUGUGAAAACCUGAGGCUCAACCUCAGGCCUGCAGUCGAUACGAGCAGACUAGAGUGUUGCAGGGGAGACUGGAAUUCCUGGUGUAGCGGUGAAAUGCGCAGAUAUCAGGAGGAACACCGGUGGCGAAGGCGGGUCUCUGGGCAGUAACUGACGCUGAGGAGCGAAAGCGUGGGGAGCGAACAGG